ACAGAUAUGUCGGAAUAGGUAGACGAGUUGGUUUUAGGAGCCAAAGAGUUAAUGGCUCGUGUAGGUUCGAAGCCUACUAUCUGUA
rnacentral:tRNA from 1 species